rnacentral:rRNA from 1 species
UACGUAGGUGACCAGCGUUGUCCGGAUUUACUGGGCGUAAAGAGCGCGCAGGCGGUCGUUCAAGUCGCGUGUGAAAGCCCCCGGCUCAACUGGGGAGGGUCACGCGAUACUGAUCGACUGGAAGGCAGGAGAGGGUAGUGGAAUUCCCGGUGUAGUGGUGAAAUGCGUAGAUAUCGGGAGGAACACCAGUGGCGAAGGCGACUACCUGGCCUGUUCUUGACGCUGAGGCGCGAAAGCUAGGGGAGCAAACGGG